rnacentral:rRNA from 1 species
CUACAGGGGUAUCUAAUCCUGUUUGCUCCCCACGCUUUCGUGCAUGAGCGUCAGUCUUGACCCAGGGGGCUGCCUUCGCCAUCGGUGUUCCUCCACAUCUCUACGCAUUUCACUGCUACACGUGGAAUUCUACCCCCCUCUGCCAAACUCUAGCCUUGCAGUCUCCAUUGCCAUUCCCAGGUUAAGCCCGGGGAUUUCACAACAGACUUACAAAACCGCCUGCGCACGCUUUACGCCCAGUAAUUCCGAUUAACGCUUGCACCCUACGUAUUACCGCGGCUGCUGGCAC